CCAUAGUAUAUACGUAAUAAUUAUCGGGCGAUAUUAUAUAUUUUGUUUUCUAAACGAAUUUCUCCCUUAAUUUCCUUAGUUUCCUUAUUAUUUCUUGUCUACGCAAACGAGCGGUGUCAACAUUGUAUAGUGUUUCUGCGGGUGGUGUAUGUAUUCGCCAAGUAUAUUGGCCGUUUCUUUGACUCGUGACACGUUUGCCGACAACCGCCUGGCAUGCUUUUUGU